GACGGAGGAUGCAAGUGUUAUCCGGAAUCACUGGGCGUAAAGCGUCUGUAGGUUGUUUAAAAAGUCUGCAGUUAAAGGUUGAAGCUUAACUUCAAAAUGCCGUAGAAACUUUUAAACUAGAGGAUGGUAGGGGUAGAGGGAAUUUCCAGUGGAGCGGUGAAAUGUGUAGAUAUUGGAAAGACCACCGAUGGCGAAGGCACUCUACUGGGCCAUGACUGACACUGAGAGACGAAAGCUAGGGGAGCGAAUGGGAUUAG
rnacentral:rRNA from 1 species